GCCGGGAACGGUGGCGCGGGCCUGUAGUCCCAGCUGUUUGGGAGGCUGAGGCUGGAGGAGCUCUUGAGUCCAGGAGUUCUGGGCUGUAACGCGCUAUGCUGAUCGGGUGUCCGCACUAAGUUCGGCGACCUCCUGCGAGCGGGUGACCACCAGGUUGCCUAAGGAGGGAUGAACCGGCCCAGGUCGGAAAUGGAGCAGGUCAAAACUCCCAUGCUGAUCAGUGGGAUUCGAGCCUGUGAAUAGCCACUGCACUCCAGCCUGGGCAACAUAGCGAGACCCCUUCUCU
rnacentral:SRP_RNA from 1 species